rnacentral:tRNA from 1 species
AGCUCAAUUGGCAGAGCGACGGUCUCCAAAACCGUAGGCUGCGGGUUCGAUUCCUGCACCCC